rnacentral:rRNA from 1 species
GACGAACGCUGGCGGCGUGCUUAACACAUGCCAGUCGAACGGAAAGGCCCUGCUUGCAGGGUACUCGAGUGGCGAACGGGUGAGUAACACGUGGGUGAUCUGCCCUGCACUUCGGGAUAAGCCUGGGAAACUGGGUCUAAUACCGGAUAGGAGCCAUUUUUAGUGUGAUGGUUGGAAAGUUUUUUCGGUGUAGGAUGAGCUCGCGGCCUAUCAGCUUGUUGGUGGGGUAAUGGCCUACCAAGGCGGCGACGGGUAGCCGGCCUGAGAGGGUGGACGGCCACAUUGGGACUGAGAUACGGCCCAGACUCCGACGGGAGGCAGCAGGGGGGAAUAUUGCACAAUGGGCGCAAGCCUGAUGCAGCGACGCCGCGUGGGGGAUGACGGCCUUCGGGUUGUAAACUCCUUUCGCUAGGGACGAAGCUUUUUGUGACGGUACCUAGAUAAGAAGCACCGGCUAACUACGUG